GAAAGUAGGAUUGGCUAUGGCUACCAUAUCAUGUAAAGUCUUGAUAUGUGGGUUCAGUGGGUUAACAGUCAUGUGAGUAGUUCCUACCCAGUCAGGUGAGGUAAGCAUAUCUUGUAGAUAGAAUGUCCCCAAUUUGUUGUAUGAGCCACCUCCCCUCCAGUACAUGCCCAUUACAUAUUCCCCCGCAUCCUUUGGACUAGGGUGCUCUAUGUUCA